rnacentral:rRNA from 1 species
GACGAACGCUGGCGGCGUGCUUAACACAUGCCAGUCGAACGGAAAGGCCCUGCUUGCAGGGUACUCGAGUGGCGAACGGGUGAGUAACACGUGGGUGAUCUGCCCUGCACUUCGGGAUAAGCCUGGGAAACUGGGUCUAAUACCGGAUAGGAGCCAUUUUUAGUGUGAUGGUUGGAAAGUUUUUUCGGUGUAGGAUGAGCUCGCGGCCUAUCAGCUUGUUGGUGGGGUAAUGGCCUACCAAGGCGGCGACGGGUAGCCGGCCUGGGAGGGUGGACGGCCACAUUGGGACUGAGAUACGGCCCAGACUCCUACGGGAGGCAGCAGGGGGGAAUAUUGCACAAGGGGCGCAAGCCUGAUGCAGCGACGCCGCGGGGGGGAUGACGGCCUUCGGGUUGUAAACUCCUUUCGCUAGGGACGAAGCUUUUUGUGACGGUACCUAGAUAAGAAGCACCGGCUAACUACGUG